rnacentral:rRNA from 1 species
UACGGGGGGGGGCAAGCGUUGUUCGGAAUUACUGGGCGUAAAGGGUUCGUAGGUGGCCUACUAAGUCAGACGUGAAAUCCCUCAGCUCAACUGGGGAACUGCGUCUGAGACUGGAAGGCUUGAGUGCAGGAGAGGAACGCGGAAUUCCAGGUGUAGCGGUGAAAUGCGUAGAUAUCUGGAGGAACACCGGUGGCGAAGGCGGCGUUCUGGACUGUUACUGACACUGAGGAACGAAAGCCAGGGGAGCAAACGGG